GAUAACACCGCAAACACUCCGCCUGCAGACUUCCUACGCUUGAGACAUAAUAUUUUCGAACAUUAAUUUGCCAAGCAGGUUGGCCGUGACUCUGCCUGCCUGCUGCUGCUUGUCUGAGUCAGGAAGGCUCUGUCUACCCUCUUUGACUGGGGUUUAUUUCUCACGUAGACGCGCGAAUAAAGAGCGCCUUUGGAAGUUUUUGGAGGUCACAUGCACCUAAAGUCAUUGUUCCUGUUUGAUAUUCUCAACUGUGCUCUGGUUGUUACGUUUACUACCUGAGAAGGAAGGAACAAAGUAACCAGGCAGAGCUGAGAACCUAAGAGUGGAUUAGAGGAUCCCGAGACUCUUUAAACAUUUGGAGCUCCUCAAUUUUGGUAGAGUCAGAGACAGAGAAAACAGCAAACUGAACUACAGUGAAAGGGUUGAAGAGAUUGGGAGCACUUGGAAAAGAGAAGAGAGGCAACCUAAGGUCAGUCAUCCAGCUUUGAAGCUAUGUGACACCGUGACGGUUACCAGCUGCUCUCCUUGUCCAUCAAAGAGAAGCAGAGGCUGAGUUCGUACACCGCAUCCGCCAAAUAUGGGGAAAUUUUCUUGUUGGAAGGAGUGGCCAUGCUAAAAUGUAAACCGUCGACUGUGCAAAAACUUUUCAGCUGUUGAUUAAAUGUUGGAUUAUUUUGGGGCCUCGAGUUUUCUGCGUGUCUGAACACAAUACUGACGCCACAGGUAGCAUCGCUCCUUAUAAGCCUGUAAGGACAGAGACACACUGUAAGAGAGCAAGCAUGAGUGAUGGCCCAUGGC
rnacentral:sRNA from 1 species